rnacentral:snRNA from 1 species
GAGCUCACUUCGGCAGCACAUAUACUAAAAUUGGAAUGAUAGAGAGAAGAUUAUUAUGACCGCUGUGCGAGCAUGACGCACAAAUUUGUGAAGCAUUCCAUAUUUUA